CUCGCACUCACACACCUCGACCUCCUUUCUCUCUCUACAAACUCUCUUCCCCUUUCUUCGAUCCGGUUGACCUGCCGGAGUUGCCCUCUCCCCCUUCCGUCAUGGAUCGGGCUGCACUCCGUCGUCCUCUCGCUGUCACUCCCGGCUCCCUCCUCCUUCCAUCGUGGUUUCAUGGAGUUGACAUAUUUUGAGAUGUAUUUGGGAGACAACGAGCAGAACACACGAAGACUUUAGGCAUGAUCAUGCAACACAAUGUGAAAAUUGUGAAAUUUACAAAAAGGUCAUCCGGGGUAAAUUAACAAUAUAAAGAUUAUACAUUGAAGUGCAAAUGAGAUCUAUUUAAAAGGGGAUCUUGGAUGGAUUUGAAAAGACAUGAUUUUUUCAAUUGAAGAGGAGAAGAGAAGGGGACUACCACGUUCUCUACCACGACACCAUAUUAUUUAAAGGGAAAUAAGGAAGAAUACGAUGGAAGAUAAAAGAAAUUGGAAGAGGAUUGCAGACGACUUUUCGGGGCGUUCUUCUUCUAUCUUCGAUUCUGAUUGAGGAUUGCUACUGCACGGAGAACCUCUCUAUUGCCGUCAAAUCGGCUUCGAAAAAGACUUCAUGUUGUAACUGACCCGAGACAUCGCAUCUGGCAUAAAAUAAAUGCCACAAGUUUAAUGUAAUUUAUGUAAUCUGUUUGGAUGAAAAUUUAAGAGACAAUAUAAUUAAAAUCCGUUGUAAUAAAAGGUGUAUUUAAUAGGUGUUGACUGGGAGGGGAUUUUUUUAGUUGUAAAAUUAAUGGGAUGAAUUUUUUGAUUGUGUGUUAAUGUCGACAGUGAUGUUGUAGUAAAAAUGAGAAUUUUUUUUUUUUAGGGUCG